CCCUUAGAUGUCCUGGGCUGCACGCGCGCUACACUGAUGUGUCCAGUAAGCACCUAACCUCUUCCGAAAGGAACGGGUAACCUUUGCAAAGCACAUCGUGAUGGGGAUAGAUUAUUGCAAUUAUUAGUCUUGAACGAGGAAUUCCUAGUAAGCACAAGUCAUCAGCCUGUGUUGAUUACGUCCCUGCCCUUUGUACACACCGCCCGUCGCUCCUACCGAUUGAAUGACUCGGUGAAAAAUUGGGACCGUGAGUCUGUUUGCUUCAUUGCGAGUGGAUUGAUGGGAACUUUUUUAAACCUCGCCAUUUAGAGGAAGGUGAAGUCGUAACA
rnacentral:rRNA from 1 species